UUCCAAACUAUUCACUUCAAGUGACAAUCAUUCAUCACUAAACAACUAUUUCCCAAAAAAAAGAAACAUCAAUUGAUUUAUAACAGCCAAUGGUUCGAUCACCAGCAUCUCAUCAUAACAACAUUGAAGAAAUUAUGCAAAAAAUGUCUUCUCGUUCUUGUGAAAAAUAAUGUUAUGUCAUAAUGUCAUCCAUGUAAUCAUAUUGAGCCUAACAACACCUCGAUCAGUAAGAAUACUCCAUAUCUCAACAAGAAAUUAUCUGUAAGAAAAUCAGAAUAAAAGAAUAAUUAAGAUAUAUAUAUAUAUAUAUAUAUAUAUAUAUAUAUAUAUAUAUAUAUUGGAGUAUCUAAACAUAUAGAUUAAUUAGUACAACACAAUUCAUAGUUCGGCAUAUAAUGUUCUAGGCAGAUAAGGAGAUGACACACAUCAAACACAAAUCACACGCAAUCCAAAAAAAAAGUUAAUAAAAAUUUCAGCAUAAUUUACUUUAUUUGUGCAGCUAAGAGAAAAAACCAAAAAAUACAACAUAGACCAUCUCAACCUUGUUUCAAAAUAGAAUAACAACCACAAUAAUAAUCCAAACCAAUUCUUACCCACUUAAUUAGUAUCUAAUAAUAUGUAUCCCAAAUAUUAUAUUCUACUAGUCACAAGAAAUGUGAGUGUUUGAUCUAGUCAAGGCUGGGUAUUACUUCCAAUGGUGCACAAUUGAAACAGUACUAGAAUAUUUCUGAUCUUGCACAGGUGGUUAGGACUAAUAUACUAUUGUGUAGGGGCUGUCAGACUGCUUAGGUGAUCAUUGAGCAAUGAUGUACUGUUGUUAGCUAGUUAGGGCUCUAUUGGAUUGAUAUUGUACAGUGUGGUGUUGGUCCUAAAAGCUCCAGGUCAGCAGAUCCAUAGUUUCACAUGGUAAGGGUACUACAACUUGUAUAUGGGUUUUCUUUUGGUUGUGUUUUUACUCUCUAAAACCGUGAAAAUAAGAUGAGCAGGGAGGCAAUUUUAGGGAGGAAUCUGUAAUUGCUCAAGCUCAAGCAAACAAUUUGAUAGAGUAAUGAAACAAAAUUGAUUCUAUACAAAAAAAAUUAUAUUCUACUAAUCAACCAACUCAAUCAUUCAAUGCUUGCACAUUGGUCAAUAAGUAGUAUUCGUCAACAUUAUAAGUGAUGAUGUUAAUGGUGUAAUGUAUAGGUAAUAUUAAUCAACAUACCUUUAACAUUAUAGAAAUCGUUCAAUGUAACCGAUAAACUCAAGACGAACUUCAUUCAGUUCAGCUUUGGUGAAUUCACCUAAAUUUUUAUUUGCAAAUUUGAUGAAUUCUUUAACACCAUCUCCGUAAUCUUUUGUAAACCUAUGUUUUAACAUCCAUAUCUUAUCCAUUUUGAUUCAAAUAAUUUAAACGACUAUUCCUGACAUACAUAAGAAAAUA
rnacentral:lncRNA from 1 species